rnacentral:rRNA from 1 species
ACCCUACGGGAGGCAGCAGUAGGGAAUCUUCCACAAUGGGCGCAAGCCUGAUGGAGCGACACCGCGUGAGUGAAGAAGGGUUUCGGCUCGUAAAGCUCUGUUGUUAAAGAAGAACACGUAUGAGAGUAACUGUUCAUACGUUGACGGUAUUUAACCAGAAAGUCACGGCUAACUACGUGCCAGCAGCCGCGGUAAUACGUAGGUGGCAAGCGUUAUCCGGAUUUAUUGGGGCGUAAAGAGAGUGCAGGCGGUUUUCUAAGUCUGAUGUGAAAGCCUUCGGCUUAACCGGAGAAGUGCAUCGGAAACUGGAUAACUUGAGUGCAGAAGAGGGUAGUGGAACUCCAUGUGUAGCGGUGGAAUGCGUAGAUAUAUGGAAGAACACCAGUGGCGAAGGCGGCUACCUGGUCUGCAACUGACGCUGAGACUCGAAAGCAUGGGUAGCGAACAGGAUUAGAUACCCUGGUAGGAUAGCG